AUUUUAUUUUUCCUCGCUCUUUCUUUAUUUUUUUUGAUAUUUUCACACUUGAUGAACUAGAUCUUUUUCGCUUUUGUCACAACAAACUGGUAUCGUAGAAAAUUCGGUAUCAUUGUAAGUUUGAAUUUCUAACAAACUGAUAUUAGAGAAAAUCUAGUAUUAGUGUAAGUGGCGGAUUUCUAACAAAGUGGUAUCAAAGGCGGAUUGUUUAUUUGGGUGUUCAAGAUGUUGACGAAAUUUGAGUUCGAGAAGUUUGAACGCUAUAGCAAUUUCGCUCUAUGGCAAAUUAAUGUUCUGAUGCAACAGAGAUCGCAA
rnacentral:lncRNA from 1 species